UCUCUUCACGUGGCAGCAUGUGUGAGUCGAUGCUCCCGGAGCAGGUGGAGUGGUGGCGCUGGAUAGCGGUGUACACUUAAAGCAUUCUGGGAAUAUGAAUCCCUUCUGCACCCGGGAUUCACCAGUCCAGCCAUGCAUGGAGCUGGGGAAAGCAGGCCCUGAACUGUCUAGAGAGACUUGGUGGAGGAGGCCACGGCCCGUCUUGUCCCUGCCGGGUCCUGGCCAGGGCCCUGUGCUAAUCACGAGUCUUUCCUGUUCAGAGCAGUGAGGCCUGAGACCCUCAACGGUGCUGUGUGUACAGAAGGCCCCCAGAAUCCACAGAAAGGGCCCGCCUGAAACCUAGAGCAUUUGUGAAGGAGGAGAAUGGAAGGAACAACUGGAUGUUGUAAAUGUUUCUCAUCUGGCCUUAAAAUCCAUGAAAGCUGGAAAAUGCCAAGGCAUCUGUGCACAUACUGGUGGAUUUUAAUGAGAGUCCUGUGUUUGGAGCACCAGAAAUAAACCAGCUUCAGAAGCAAAGUUAACAGGAGGAGGAAGCAGAGCUAGAGCUGGAAGGAGACCCAGCCAGCCCGGGCUCCAGUGACAUCAGCCGGUACACGCUCUUGUUUGCUUACGCUUGUUGAACUGAGUUUUUCAUAUGUAACUAACCAAUACUGGCACAUGUGAGACUGGGCAUGAUUCAGAAAAGCUGGAAGAUCUAGAGAGGGAUCUUGCAAUCUGAAGUUUGUUUAGUCACUGGAGGAUUUGAACGUCUAUGACACUCUUCCGAGCUGACACAGUGAAGAACAUGGAAGGAGAACUCACCCAGUCUGCCAGGGUCACAGAUGAUCAUACUCAAGAUCUUCCUGGGGAGUCAACGGCAAAUUUCACUGGGCUACUUUACAGAUGAAGAAGGAAUAUAAAGAAGGUUCUGGGACCCU
rnacentral:lncRNA from 1 species